GUUGCUGCUGGUUCUCUAGGGAGCAUGUGCACACUUGUCAUCUUUAUCUUUCCACCUGUGCACCUUUUGUAGACCUGGAUACCUCUCUGAAUGCUUGCAUUCAGGUUUGAGGAUUUGACUUUUUCUGUCUUUCUUUGCAUUUCCAGGCCUAUGUUUCUUCAUAAUACCCCAAUGUAUGUUAUAGAAUGUAUUCAAUGGGCCUUUGUGCCUAUAAACCUUAUACAACUUUCAGCAACGGAUCUCUUGGCUCUCGCAUCGAUGAAGAACGCAGCGAAAUGCGAUAAGUAAUGUGAAUUGCAGAAUUCAGUGAAUCAUCGAAUCUUUGAACGCACCUUGCGCUCCUUGGUAUUCCGAGGAGCAUGCCUGUUUGAGUGUCAUUAAUAUAUCAACCUCCUCAGCUUUUGCUUGUUGAGUGUUGGAUGUGGGUUUGCUGGCCUCUUGAGGUCAGCUCUCCUUAAAUGCAUUAGCAGACAACAUUUUGCCAAACGCUCAUUGGUGUGAUAAUUAUCUACGCUAUUGACGUGAAGCAGGUUCAGCUUCUAAUAGUCCAUUGACUUGGACAAAUUUCUAUUUAUUAAUGUGACCUCAAAUCAGGUAGGACUACCCGCUGAACUUAA
rnacentral:rRNA from 1 species